rnacentral:rRNA from 1 species
AAAUUGAAGAGUUUGAUCAUGGCUCAGAUUGAACGCUGGCGGCAGGCCUAACACAUGCAAGUCGAACGGUAACAGGAAACAGCUUGCUGUUUCGCUGACGAGUGGCGGACGGGUGAGUAAUGUCUGGGAAACUGCCUGAUGGAGGGGGAUAACUACUGGAAACGGUAGCUAAUACCGCAUAACGUCGCAAGACCAAAGAGGGGGACCUUCGGGCCUCUUGCCAUCGGAUGUGCCCAGAUGGGAUUAGCUAGUAGGUGGGGUAAAGGCUCACCUAGGCGACGAUCCCUAGCUGGUCUGAGAGGAUGACCAGCCACACUGGAACUGAGACACGGUCCAGACUCCUACGGGAGGCAGCAGUGGGGAAUAUUGCACAAUGGGCGCAAGCCUGAUGCAGCCAUGCCGCGUGUAUGAAGAAGGCCUUCGGGUUGUAAAGUACUUUCAGCGGGGAGGAAGGGAGUAAAGUUAAUACCUUU